CCUCUUCCUCCCGUUUUCCCCUUUCUCUUUCUCGCUCUCUUCUCUCCCUGGCGCUGUGGCGCACAAGGGCUGCGCCCCCAAUUGUAGGGUGUGUCGCCGCCGCCUCUGCCUGGCUGGCCGGCAAGGUGCCGCCGCCGCCGCUUCUUCCUCCUCUCCCCUUCCUUCAAUCCUCUCUUCCCUUGUUUCCCUCUCUAAAUCUCUCUAUAUAGCUCAUCUUCCCUUUUCUCCUCUACUGCCCUAGUUAGUAUUAUCCUCAAUCUCUUCAACUUCUGCUCUAUGCUAGUGUUUAUCUCUCCUUGGUGAUGUCUGUGAUAGCGGUGGACUAGUGAUGCUGGUUGUAUAUAAAUGAUCCUAGUGGUCACUUGAUUUUUUUUCUAUACUCAGGGUUGUGCUUACUGAUUUCAGGGUUCUUACGUUUGACUUGGUUUGGUGAAUAAUGUCUAUAUGCUCAUGAUAAAUGAAUGCUGACAUGAAUAAACCUAUGAAUUGCAUUACUGAAAUUAAAAUCACACUAAUAUCACUGGUCCUUAUAUAUGCAUACAUGUUGAAUUAACUGAAUCUUCUAAAAUUGGUGACAUACAAGCAGGAUCAGAUCUUUGACUAAAGUCUUAUUAAUUUACAUGGUUCUACACUUUGAUAAUCAUGGCAAUUUCUAUCUAUACAUAUUGAAUUAUUGGACUGAAGAUCCCUAAAACUUGAAUCUUGAAGUUAAUAAAUGAUAAUUUGUUUCUCUAAAUAAUUUACUACUAGUCUAUAUGUCCAGAAUUUCAUCUCUAUAUAAUUUAUUAGAUUAGAGUUAUUGAUAGAUUAUAUUACUUACAUUUGUUUUAUUAUGAGACUAUGCUCUAAACAUUUACUCUCCUGCACAUAAUAAUCUGGUAAAGAAACUUGCAUGUUCUGUUAAGUCUUUACGAUUUAGUACAACUAUUAUUACUUUAACACUAUACAUGCUUAAAUGUACAUCCAGAUUCAUCCUAUGACGUCUUUUCUGAAUUUUGUAGUAAAGAACUAGAUACAUAUGCAAACCCAGAUUCAUAACCUACUAAUUUCACAUGCUAUCCUUCAAAUCAAACUAUUAAUAAUUUAUGAUGUUUUCUCUAUUAAAUCAGGGUUGAGCUUCAUUACUUUUAAAUGAAAUCAGAUUCAUAGACACAGAUCCUAACCCUUCCAGGAAUAUGCACAUGUCAAGGUUAUGCCCUGUUUGCAUGACUAGAAUAUGAAAACUUACAAAUUCUCAUGCAUGAUCAGUUUCUUCUAUACAUGCUCUAUUCCUAAAUAAUUUAUAUCAUGAACACUAGUUGAUUUAUACAAGAAUUACAGCUACACAUGCUUAUUGAUGCUAUCAAGAUUUCAUAUAUUAUAAUUGAUAUACGUCUAUAUUAAGAUUUAAAGACAUACAUUUAUCUUAAACUAUAGCCUCCUAAUUUUUGUCACUUAUAUUCAUUUGGAAUUUCUAAGGUUUUGGUCAGUAUGGAUGGUGCAUAUAUCUGUAUGAAACUCUAGCUCUAACAAAUGCUGUUACUAUGAAUGCAGGAUCUACUCUCCUUCCCUAUUUUAAUUUUUGGUUACCUCUGAUGAUUCUACAGUGAUUGAAAAAUAUGUGGUUCAGCUCCUCCUUCAAAAAUCCAAGUCUUCUCUUCUACUGCUGCUCUUCUGGAUCUAAAGGUGAUUCUCCUCCUUGGCCCUUCCUCUACCGGUAAUACUUGACUGCUUCCUGACAUCUUUCUUGAUCUGCUACUGGUGAUUCUCUUCCUCCUCUUGAGACUGAUCCUCUUGCUUGAUUAUUGCUGCUCUAUCUUGCUUCCUAACCUUGGUAACAUCUUCUCCAAGAGCUGAAACCCCUGUUCAUCCAAGAACAGAACACCCUGCUUCUCCUUUUACUCCUCUGACCUCCCUCUCUCUCUCUUCCUGAUUGUUUUUACUAUGGAUACUAUGCAGCUAUGGUUAAUUGAUGUAUUGGUUUGUGCUGGAUUUCACUGAGCUGCUCCUCUCUCGAAUGAACUACUCCCUCCUUCCAAAAAAAAGACAAACCCUGAUUUCCGUGUCCAACGUUUGACCGUCCGUCUUAUUUAAAAAAAUUAU